rnacentral:lncRNA from 1 species
AAGGGAAAAACAGUCGAAUCAAAUAAUAAGGAUAAUAAGAAAACAAUGGACAAGUCGGACAUGAUAUUGGAAUUGGACCAUCUAGAGAAGGAUCAUUUUAGUAAAGUACAAAGCCAAAGUAUGAGAGCACAACAAUCUGAUAAGAAUAAGCGAUACAAUCAAUAUGUACAGGUAGAGAACAAUUUCAACGGGAAAUUCCCGGAUAUCAAUUAUGAAUUUCGUGGAGAUUCCCACGGUAACAUUUUCGGAUAUCAAAUAUGAGACCAUGGAGAUUCCCAUGGUAACAAUUUGUUCAUGUACAUGUACCUGCCUUGUGACUCCCUUAGCCGUAACUACCUCAUACACCAAUCAGGGAAUGACCCUGCUAAUCGAUCAAUAGGCAUGCCCGGGCGCAUGCCGAUUCAGCCAUCAGCACAGUUAACCUUAAACUAUGCCAAUGGUCUGAAUCCAAUAUGGGUACUGUCGAAGAGACCAUCCACCGUCGGCCCAAUAC